UACGUAGGUGGCGAGCGUUGUCCGGAAUUACUGGGUGUAAAGGGCGUGUAGGCGGGGAUGCAAGUCAGAUGUGAAAUUCCAGGGCUCAACCCUGGCACUGCAUCUGAAACUGCAUUUCUUGAGUGUCGGAGAGGAAAGUGGAAUUCCCAGUGUAGCGGUGAAAUGCGUAGAGAUUGGGAGGAACACCAGUGGCGAAGGCGGCUUUCUGGACGAUAACUGACGCUGAGGCGCGAAAGCGUGGGGAGCGAACAGG
rnacentral:rRNA from 1 species